rnacentral:rRNA from 1 species
UAAAAAGCUUCAAACUGGGAUUAGAUACCCCACUAUGCUUAGCCAUAAACUUAGAUGUACCACACACAUCCGCCAGGGUACUACGAGCACAGCUUAAAACCCAAAGGACUUGGCGGUGUCUCAGACCCCCCUAGAGGAGCCUGUUCUAGAACCGAUAACCCCCGUUAAACCUCACCACUUCUUGUUUUCCCCGUCUAUAUACCGCCGUCGUCAGCUUACCCUGUGAAGGCCCAACAGUAAGCAAAAUGGGCACAGCCAAAAACGUCAGGUCGAGGUGUAGCCUACGAAGUGGAAAGAAAUGGGCUACAUUUUCUAAAUACAGAAUACUACGAACAGCACCCUGAAAAUAGGUGCUAGAAGGUGGAUUUAGUAGUAAAAAGCAAAUAGAGAGUCCUUUGAAUUAGGCUCUAGCAGCUG